rnacentral:rRNA from 1 species
CCCCCAGUAACUGCGAGUGAAGAGGGAAGAGCUCAUCAUUGGAAUCUGGCAGCGUUGCGCUGUCCGAGUUGUAGAUGAGAAGAGUAGGACAUCUGGACUGCAUGGUGUCCAAGUACAAUAGGCCGUCAGUGGGACAUCAUAGAGGGUGACAAUCCCGUCCUUGACACCAAUGUACGAGUCCUUUACGAUGCCUAUCUCGGAGAGUCGAGCAGUUUGGGAUUUGCUGCUUAAACACGGGAGGUAGAUUCCUUCCAAAGCUAAAUACAGGCAAGAGACCGAUAGUGAACAAGUACCGCAAGGGAAAGAUGAAAUAGAACUCUGUGAAGGGAGUCAAAAAGACGUGAAAUUGUUGCGAGAGAAGCGAUUCAAGUCAGCGUAGCUGGGCCCAUCAAGCCUCGCGCUUUGGACCAGCUUUGCCAGCGGUCUUGUCCCUAGAGACUUGACUAAGGUGCCCUGCCCGGUCUAACGGACAGACCUCCCCUCUGGGGAGGCCAGUGGCAUGGCUGGUGGAAUGGCUUGCAAUCGACCCGUCUUGAAACACGGACCAAGGAGUCUAACAUGUACGCGAGUAUAAGGGUGGCAAACCCGUAUGCGCAAAGAAAGUGAUAGCCUAUGGCUGAGAAUGACCUGACGACCUGACAAGAAAUAUCAUGUCCCUCGUACGGUCAUUGCCCAAGUCCCAUGGUCAGAUCCCAUGGACAUGGAGUUGGAGCGUGCAUGCUAGGACCCGAAAGAUGGUGAACUAUGCCUGGACAAAGCGAAGCCAAAGGAAACUCUGGUGGAGGCUUGUAGCGAUUCUGACGUGCAAAUCGAUCGUCUGAUCUGGGUAUAGGGGCGAAAGACUAAUCGAACCAUCUCAUAGCUGGUUCCUGCCGAAGUUUCCCUCAGAUAGCAGAGACGUUGUGGAAGUUGCAUGUGGUAAAGCGAAUGAUUAUUGACCCUGGGGCUCAAAUGGACCUCAAUCUAUUCUCAAACUGUGAAUGCGUGCGGUUGG